rnacentral:rRNA from 1 species
AACGAACGCUGGCGGCAGGCUUAACACAUGCAAGUCGAGCGAGACCGCCGGGUCUAGCGGCGGACGGGGGAGUAACGCGUGGGAACGUGCCCUUCUCUACGGAAUAGCGCCGGGAAACUGGGAGUAAUACCGGAUACGCCCUCUGGGGGAAAGGUUUAACGGAGAAGGAUCGGCCCGCGUUGGAUUAGGUGGUUGGUGGGGUAAUGGCCCACCACGACGUCGAUAGAUAGCUGGUUAGAGAGGAAGAUCAGACACACUGGGACGGGGACACGGCCCAGAAUCCUACGGGAGGGAGCAGAGGGGGAUCUUAGAAAGUGGGGUCAGCCCUGAUCGCGCCCGGCCGGGUGAGUGAUGAAGGCCGUAGGGAAGUAAAGCUCGUUCAGCUGGGAAGAUAAUGACGGUACCCGCAGAAGAAGCCCCGGCUAACUACGUG